rnacentral:lncRNA from 1 species
GCUUAAGUACGAAUUCCUAAACUUCAUUUCAGCUUCUAUUUUUAACUAACUCAACUGAUUUGUACUCCUCCGCAAGCCUAAGGUACAACUGGUUUAAGCUACUCGUAUCAGAUCCCCCUUGUCAAAAUCUUCCUUCUCCUCAAGGAAGGAAAGAUGGGAACCCUGUCCUCAAGGAAUGAUAUUCCUCCCAAGUUGCCUACUCUGAUGUAGUGUUCUCCCACUGGACAAGUACUUGAGCUAUGGCUUCGUUUCUUUUUU